GACGAACGCUGGCGGCGUGCUUAACACAUGCAAGUCGAACGGAAAGGCCCUGCUUUUGUGGGGUGCUCGAGUGGCGAACGGGUGAGUAACACGCGAGUAACCUGCCCUUGACUUUGGGAUAACUUCAGGAAACUGCGGCUAAUACCGGAUAGGAUCUCCUGCUGCAUGGUGGUGGUUGGAAAGUUUCGGCGGUUGGGGAUGGACUCGCGGCUUAUCAGCUUGUUGGUGGGGUAGUGGCUUACCAAGGCUUUGACGGGUAGCCGGCCUGAGAGGGUGACCGGCCACAUGGGGACUGAGAUACGGACCAGACUCGUACGGGAGGCAGCAGUGGGGAAUAUUGCACAAUGGGCGGAAGCCUGAUGCAGCAGCGCCGCGUGCGGGAUGACGGCCUUCGGGUUAUAAACCGCUUUCGCCUGUGACGAAGCGUGAGUGACGGUAAUGGGUAAAGAAGCACCGGCUAACUACGUG
rnacentral:rRNA from 1 species